ACAUACGACCAUAGACUGAAGAGAAUAGGGCAUCCCGUCCGCUCUGCCAAACUCAAGCUUCAGAUCGGUAGAUUAGUAGUUGGGUGGGUGACCACCAGCGAAUACCUACUGUUGUAUGUU
rnacentral:rRNA from 1 species